CCGACUCCUGAAACAAACGAGAGACAGAAAAAACUAAAUAGAACUGGAGAAGACUGUGGCUCACUGACAGUCACAUUUAGUGGAAACACGACAAAGCCUCCUGCAGUGUUUUAGACAUAUGCUUUAGUAAAGGGUCCAAGGAAACGGAAGUGUUAACGGUGUGCAUGGGAGACCCGCCAGCGGCCAGAGCGCCCCCUGCUGCCGCGGAGGGAACACGCCACCGUCCACCAGCGGCCUUCAGGUGGAGCAACAACUCCAAGUCAAUGGAAACAACGGAAAACAACUCAUAUGAUUCAACUCUUUAUUGUCAUAUAAAUCAAUAAACGGGUUAUCAGUGCAAUGAAA